AAAUGAAUCAAAUGCUUGCUUAUUAAAUUGGGAGCAAUACAGAGAAGAUUAGCAUGGCCCAUGGUCAAGGAAGACACGCAAAUUCAUGAAGUGUUCCCAUUAAAA